CACCGAACAUUCAUCCACAUUCAUUCACCAGCGAUGCCAACACUGGAGGCAAGGAGGGUGAAGUGUCUUGCCCAAGGACACAACGACAGAUGACGGGGGGAGUGGGAAUCGAACCGCCAACCUUCCGGUCAUUGGACAACCUGCCCUACCACCUGAGACACUGCCGUCCCUUUAGUCAAGUCCAUCCAGGUCGUAGUUGUCUUACUGUCUUAAAGGUUAUAAAUGAUAUUCCAUCUGUAUUAUAUUCCAAUCAGCACUGUCCAGUAAUUUUCUCUGACCCAGCAACAAAGAUGAGAUCGUCCUGGAAUCUGGUCUCCAGGGCUCCAUUUUUGGUCCAACACUAUUUAUAAACAACAUUCCUCUGUCUGUUAGUAAAACCUUUAUUCACUUAUAUGCCGAUGACACAAUCUUAUACAGGUCUGGUUCAUCUCCAGAUCAUGUUCUUAAGUCUCUUAAACAUAGUUUUUAUGAAAUCCAAUGAGCCUUUACCAAUCUGUAUAAUCUGUUCUUAAAUGCUAAAAGACAAAAGUAAUGUGUUUUGGUCACAAAGGCAGGGUUACCCCAGCCACCAUGGUGCAAUCAAAGGUCAAAGCAAGACUUUUUUUUCUAGAAAUUGUUCCUAAUUUCCGUCUGUUGCCAAACAUGAUUGUAGAAAAAGGUUUGCUUCCUUCUCAGGUUCACGGUCUUCCUCACAUACUCGUCCAUAUGUUUUUGCUUUACUCUCACCUAUAAACGCUCAGGUCAUUUGCUUCUAUAUCUACAGCAGCUUCUGCAACAGGUAUUGUCAGCAAAGUACAACACAUAGUCUUCACAUCUUACCUCUCUACACGUCCCCAAAACCACGUCUCGCUGUGGACAAUCGUCCUUUUCAUCUGCUUCGAAUCACUGGAUCUUGUUACAAAAAAACACUAAAACUGGAUGUUUUUAUUUCUAUUUUUAAAAGCCACCCGAAGGCAAGUUUUAAUGACGUUUCUAAAUGUUUAAACACAAUCUAACAGCACUUCUACAUUUCUAAUGAUGAACUAAAACUGAAAUGUUUUGGGGUUUUUUUUGUUUGUUUUUUUUUACUCCCCAUCCUCUCCUGUCACUCAAGUGUUUUCUGCCACUUGCCGGACCAACAUUGCAAUUCAGAAUUUAUUCUUUAUUUUUUCCCCGGUGAAAUAACGGUAAAUUAAAACAUAAAUAAACAAAGUAAAUAAUAAUUAAUUAAAAGAUAUUGCUUUGGUGCGGAGGGUGAUGUCUGCUGGCAUGAAGGAUCUUCAGUACCUUUCUGUCUUGAAGAAGCCUCUGACUGAACACACACCAGUGUGUAGAAGAUGUGAAGAAUCGUCCAUCAGCUUGUGCAGCGUUCUGCUGUGUACAGUCAACUCCAGGGUCUCCAGAUCAGUCCCCAGAACAGAGCCAGAGCGUCCGGGUCACUUUCUCUACUUCCUUCUUCACCUAGACAAACUGAACCGGGUUCUGUUCUGGAGGAGAGAGACAGACUAGAGGUGGAGGCGAGGACGUCUCAGGAGACAGACAGACUAGAGGUGGAGGCGAGGACGUCUCAGGAGACA